rnacentral:rRNA from 1 species
UGCCGCCCUGAAGGGCGUAUGGUGGAUGCCUUGGCAGACAGUACCGAUGAAGGACGUUUGAGGAUGCGAUAAUCCUAGGGGAGCCUCCAACAUGGCUUUGAUCCUAGGGUCUCCGAAUGGGGGAACCCGCCGGCCGUCAUGGGCCGGCACCGCACAUUGUUGCGGGGGGUACGCAGGGAAGUGAAACAUCUCAGUACCUGCAGGAAGGGAUACUCCGUGAGUAGUGGCGAGCGAAAGCGGAUCAGACCAAACCGGUUGCGCGUGAUACCCGUCGGGGGUUGCGUUGCCGGUGUCGUGGGAUCACGUGUCCCGGUUCCGACGGGCCGGGCGGGAGUCAUAAAACGGCUUGCCAGGGGAACAGGCUUGAAGGCCUGGCCGUAGAGGGUGCCAGCCCCGUACCUGGACGUGAGCCGUCUUCCGAUCGUGUUGUCCCAAGUAGCGCGGGCCUCGUGGAAUCCCGCGUGAAUCAGCCCAGACCGUUGGGUAAGUCUAAGCAUACCUGUCUGACCGAUAGCGUACCAGUACCGUGAGGGAAAGGUGAAAAGCACCCCGGGAGGGGAGUGAAAGAGUUCCUGAAACCGUGCGCCUACAAUCCGUCGGAGCCUCCUUGUGGGGUGACGGCGUGCCUAUCGAAAAAUGAGUCUGCGAGUCAGUGGUGCGUGGCGAGGCUAACCCGUGGUGGGGGAGCCGUAGCGAAGGCGAGUCUCAAAAGGCGUUUUGAGUCGCGCGCCCUGGACCCGAAGCGGGAUGAUCUAGCCCUGGGCAGGUUGAAGCGCGGGUAAGACCGCGUGGAGGACCGAACCCACCUGGGUUGAAAACCGGGGGGAUGACCUGGGGCUAGGGGUGAAAGGCCAAUCAAAUUCCGUGAUAGCUGGUUCUCUCCGAAAUGCAUUUAGGUGCAGCGUCGGUUGAUUGCAUCGCGGGGGUAGAGCUACUGGAUGCUUGCGGGCCCGUGUCGGGUACCAAUAGCAGCCAAACUCCGAAUACCGUGGAUGUGUAUUCCGGCAGUGAGUCGGCGGGGGAUAAGCUCCGUCGUCGAGAGGGAGACAGCCCAGACCGUCGUCUAAGGUCCCGAAGCGUGUGCUAAGUGGGAAAGGAUGUGGAGUCGCAUAGACAGCCAGGAGGUUGGCUCAGAAGCAGCCAUCCUUGAAAGAGUGCGUAACAGCUCACUGGUCUAGUGGUUCCGCGCCGACAAUGUAGCGGGGCUCAAGCACACCACCGAAGACGCGGCAGCAAUCUUCAUGGUUGCUGGGUAGGAGAGCGUCCUGCGUGGGGCGAAGCGGCCGGGUAACCGUGCCGUGGACUUCGUGGGAGUGAGAAUGCAGACAUGAGUAGCGAGAGACGGGUGAGGAUCCCGUCCGCUGGAUGACCAAGGGUUCCGGGGCCACGUUCGUCGUCCCCGGGUGAGUCGGGUCCUAAGGCGAGGCCGACAGGCGUAGUCGAAUGGAUGAACGGGUGGAUAUUCCCGUACCGGCGGCGUACCGUAAGAGCCGAACGGAUGAGUACUAACCUCCGGUCGCGUGGCGUCGUUCCCUUCGGGGUUCGGGGCGCGUGGCUGUUGGGAGCGUAGUCCUGGUAGGCUAGCGCACAGGGGUGACACGGAAUGGGAGCCGGCCGCGGAGGUGGUUUUCCGUGGUCAAGCACGCAGCCCGUCCCAUAGGCAAAUCCGUGGGACGCAUAGGGUGAGGUGUGAUGAUGGGCGUCUUUUAUGGCGCGAUAUCCGGUGGUCCAGGCCGUCGAGAAAAGCCUCGGCGCGAGGGGCGUCGCCGCCCGUACCCCAAACCGACACUGGUGGUCAGGUAGAGAAUACCAAGGCGAUCGAGCGAAUCCUGGUCAAGGAACUCGGCAAAUCACUCCCGUGCCUUCGGUAUAAGGGAGACCCCCGGGCGUGAAGAGGCUUGCCCUCGGAGCGUUGGGGGGUGGCACAGACCAGGGGGUAGCGACUGUUUACCAAAAACACAGGUGCAUGCGAAGGCGAAAGCCGCUGUAUAUGCACUGACGCCUGCCCGGUGCCGGAAGGUUAAGAGGAUCCGUCAGCCCCUUUUGGGGUGAAGCGGUGAAUUCAAGCCCCGGUAAACGGCGGUGGUAACUAUAACCAUCCUAAGGUAGCGAAAUUCCUUGUCGGGUAAGUUCCGACCUGCACGAAUGGCGUAAUGAUGGCCAGGCUGUCUCCACCCGAGACUCAGUGAAAUUGAACUCGCUGUGAAGAUGCAGUGUACCCGCGGCAAGACGGAAAGACCCCGUGAACCUUUACUAUAGCUUGACACUGAACAUUGAGCCUUGAUGUGUAGGAUAGGUGGGAGGCUUGGAAGUGUGGACGCCAGUCUGCAUGGAGCCGACCUUGAAAUACCACCCUUUAAUGUUUGAUGUUCUAACGUUGACCCGUAAUCCGGGUUGCGGACAGUGUCUGGUGGGUAGUUUGACUGGGGCGGUCUCCUCCUAAAGAGUAACGGAGGAGCACGAAGGUUGGCUAAUCCUGGUCGGACAUCAGGAGGUUAGUGCAAUGGCAUAAGCCAGCUUGACUGCGAGCGUGACGGCGCGAGCAGGUGCGAAAGCAGGUCAUAGUGAUCCGGUGGUUCUGAAUGGAAGGGCCAUCGCUCAACGGAUAAAAGGUACUCCGGGGAUAACAGGCUGAUACCGCCCAAGAGUUCAUAUCGACGGCGGUGUUUGGCACCUCGAUGUCGGCUCAUCACAUCCUGGGGCUGAAGUAGGUCCCAAGGGUAUGGCUGUUCGCCAUUUAAAGUGGUACGCGAGCUGGGUUUAGAACGUCGUGAGACAGUUCGGUCCCUAUCUGCCGUGGGCGCUGGAGAACUGAGGGGGGCUGCUCCUAGUACGAGAGGACCGGAGUGGACGCAUCACUGGUGUUCGGGUUGUCAUGCCAAUGGCACUGCCCGGUAGCUAAAUGCGGAAGAGAUAAGUGCUGAAAGCAUCUAAGCACGAAACUUGCCCCGAGAUGAGUUCUCCCUGACCCUUUAAGGGUCCUGAAGGAACGUUGAAGACGACGACGUUGAUAGGCCGGGUGUGUAAGCGCAGCGAUGCGUUGAGCUAACCGGUACUAAUGAACCGUGAGGCUUAACCUU